rnacentral:rRNA from 1 species
GGAAGUAAAAGUCGUAACAAGGUCUCCGUUGGUGAACCAGCGGAGGGAUCAUUACUGAGUUACCGCUCUAUAACCCUUUGUGAACAUACCUACAACUGUUGCUUCGGCGGGUAGGCCGUCCCCUGAAAAGGACGCCUCCCGGCCCGGACCGGACCCCCCGCGGGACCGGACCCGGCGCCCGCCGGAGGAUAACCAAACUCUAUUGUAACGACGUUUCUUCUGAGUGGCAUAAGCAAAAUAAUCAAAACUUUUAACAACGGAUCUCUUGGUUCUGGCAUCGAUGAAGAACGCAGCGAAAUGCGAUAAGUAAUGUGAAUUGCAGAAUUCAGUGAAUCAUCGAAUCUUUGAACGCACAUUGCGCCCGCCAGCAUUCUGGCGGGCAUGCCUGUUCGAGCGUCAUUUCAACCCUCAAGCUCUGCUUGGUGUUGGGGCUCUACGGUCGACGUAGGCCCUCAAAGGUAGUGGCGGACCCUCCCGGAGCCUCCUUUGCGUAGUAACAUUUCGUCUCGCACUGGGAUCCGGAGGGACUCUUGCCGUAAAACCCCCCAAUUUUCCAAAGGUUGACCUCGGAUCAGGUAGGAAUACCCG